UACCCGUCUUGAAACACGGACCAAGGAGUCUAGCAUGCGCGCGAGUCAUUGGGAGUCAUAUUAAACCCAAAGGCGAAAUGAAAGUGAACAGCGUCGGCUUCGGUCGGCCGCAGGGAAGAUGGCCGCCGGUACGCCCGUCGGCCCGCAUUCCCGAGGCGUUUCGAGAAAUGCCUCCGUUGCGAUUAUCGAGACGCACUGAGAGCGCGCACGCUGGGACCCGAAAGAUGGUGAACUAUGCCUGGUCAGGUCGAAGUCAGGG
rnacentral:rRNA from 1 species